rnacentral:rRNA from 2 species
UGAGGGAAAGGCGAAAAGAACCCCGGCGAGGGGAGUGAAAAAGAACCUGAAACCGUGUACGUACAAGCAGUGGGAGCACAGGUUUACCUGUGUGACUGCGUACCUUUUGUAUAAUGGGUCAGCGACUUAUAUUCUGUAGCAAGGUUAACCGAAUAGGGGAGCCGUAGGGAAACCGAGUCUUAACCGGGCGUUAAGUUGCAGGGUAUAGACCCGAAACCCGGUGAUCUAGCCAUGGGCAGGUUGAAGGUUGGGUAACACUAACUGGAGGACCGAACCGACUAAUGUUGAAAAAUUAGCGGAUGACCUGUGGCUGGGGGUGAAAGGCCAAUCAAACCGGGAGAUAGCUGGUUCUCCCCGAAAGCUAUUUAGGUAGCGCCUCGUGAACUCAUCUCCGGGGGUAGAGCACUGUUUCGGCUAGGGGGCCAUCCCGGCUUACCAACCCGAUGCAAACUGCGAAUACCG